AAUUCGAUUCCAGUUCCUAUGCAGAAGUAUAUAAUUAUAAUGAGCGAUUUUUUACAGACAAAUCACAAACCAUCAGCUCCAACAUCGAAGACUAACCAGCUUCAUCAAGUUAAGAAGAAAUUACUCAUUCUCUGGAACCAAAUCGAACACUCCAACAUGACAAUGAAGAUUGUGCUCGUCGUACUUGUGGCUUGCUUUGCAGCUUCCCAUUGUCAAAAUGAGCUGCCAGAAAUCCCAACAUUAAAUCCACAACAACAACAAUGCUUCAAUGAGCAAGUACUGGGAAACCAGGGUCUGCUAGCCUGUGCACUCAUGUUUGGUAAUGUUGACCCAUCAAAUCCCCGAGCAAUUUGUGAUUUGUCCUGCAUCAGUGAUUUUGCAGCAGCUUACGGCGCAUGUAAUGUGUCACCUAACCCCGUAACUGAAAUUUGCCCUGGCGUCAGUGGUGCUGCGUCUACCGUUGCCGUACCAAUGAUGGUGAUCACUGGAAUAGUUGUGACUCUGUCUUCACUGUUUUAAGCAGUCACAACAUCAAGAACUACUUAGAAUUGAGAUUCAAACACAGCUAUAUAGUUAGUAGUGCUACAUGUAGAAAUGCAUGUACCUGAAUGUGUAGAUAUUAAUUAACUAUAAUAGACUUAUGUAACUCAGUUUAUAUAAUUAUUGAGAUAUUGCGACAAUUUAAAA